GUUGAAAUAGCUCAGUUGGGAGAGCGUUAGACUGAAGAUCUAAAGGUCCCUAGUACAACAAUCCUGGGUUUCGGCA